GGAGGGGGCGAGCGUUAUUCGGAAUUAUUGGGCGUAAAGGGCGCGUAGGCGGCUUUCUAAGUCAAAGGUGAAAUCCCUCGGCUCAACUGAGGAACUGCCUUUGAAACUGGAAGGCUUGAGGCCGGGAGGGGGUAGCGGAAUUCCCAGUGUAGCGGUGAAAUGCGUAGAUAUUGGGAGGAACACCAGUGGCGAAGGCGGCUACCUGGACCGGUACUGACGCUGAUGCGCGAAAGCGUGGGUAGCAAACAGGAUUAGAUACCCUGGUAGUCCACGCUGUAAACGAUGGGUGCUCGGUGUCGCGGGUAUCGACCCCUGCGGUGCCUUAGCUAACGCGUUAAGCACCCCGCCUGGGGAGUACGGUCGCAAGGCUGAA
rnacentral:rRNA from 1 species